rnacentral:rRNA from 1 species
GGAAUAUUGGUCAAUGGGCGGAAGCCUGAACCAGCCAUGCCGCGUGCGGGAAGACGGCCCUACGGGUUGUAAACCGCUUUUGUGUGCGAGCAAUAAGGGCGCUUCGGGCGUCCGAUGAGAGUAGCAUACGAAUAAGCAUCGGCUAACUCCGUGCCAGCAGCCGCGGUAAUACGGAGGAUGCGAGCGUUAUCCGGAUUCAUUGGGUUUAAAGGGUGCGUAGGCUGUGCGUUAAGUCAGGGGUGAAAUACCGGCGCUCAACGUCGGGGCUGCCCUUGAUACUGGCGUGCUGGAGUGCGGAUGCCGCCGGAGGAAUGAGUGGUGUAGCGGUGAAAUGCUUAGAUAUCACUCAGAACACCGAUUGCGAAGGCAUCUGGCGAAUCCGCCACUGACGCUGAGGCACGAAAGCGUGGGGAUAGAACA